AUUGAACGCUGGCGGCAUGCCUUACACAUGCAAGUCGAACGGCAGCACGGGAGCAAUCCUGGUGGCGAGUGGCGAACGGGUGAGUAAUGUAUCGGAACGUGCCCAGUCGUGGGGGAUAACGUAGCGAAAGCUACGCUAAUACCGCAUACGAUCUAUGGAUGAAAGCGGGGGACCGUAAGGCCUCGCGCGAUUGGAGCGGCCGAUAUCAGAUUAGGUAGUUGGUGGGGUAAAGGCCUACCAAGCCGACGAUCUGUAGCUGGUCUGAGAGGACGACCAGCCACACUGGGACUGAGACACGGCCCAGACUCCUACGGGGGGCAGCAGUGGGGAAUUUUGGACAAUGGGCGCAAGCCCGAUCCAGCAAUGCCGCGUGCAGGAUGAAGGCCUUCGGGUUGUAAACUGCUUUUGUACGGAGCGAAAAGGCUCUCUCUAAUACAGGGGGCUCAUGACGGUACCGUAAGAAUAAGCACCGGCUAACUACGUGCCAGCCGCCGCAGUAAAAC
rnacentral:rRNA from 1 species